rnacentral:rRNA from 1 species
AUUGAACGCUGGCGGCAUGCCUUACACAUGCAAGUCGAACGGCAGCACGGUUGCUUGCAGCUGUUGUCGAGUGGCGAACGGGUGAGUAAUACAUGGGUACAUGUCCCGUAGUGUUGGAUAGCCCGCCGGAAGCCGGAGUAAUACCCCAAACGAACUACGUGUGACAGGGGGGGGGCUUGAGGCCUCGCGCUGUAGGGUUUGCCGGUGGCGGAUUAGUUGGUUGGUGGGGGAGAGGCGUACCCCGGCGACGAUCAGUAUCUGGUGCGAGAGGGGGACCAGCGACACUGAGGCUGAGACACGGCCCAGGCUCUUAGGGAAGGCAGCGGGGGGGACUUGAGGCAAAUGGGGGAAAGCUUGAACAAGCAACGCCGGGUGGGUGAAGAAGCCCUUCGGGUGGUAAGGCGCUUUUGUGGGGAAAAAAAGCCUUGGCCCUAAACCGGGCGGGGGUGACGGGAACCGGAAAAGAAGCCCCGGCUAACUUAGGG